rnacentral:rRNA from 1 species
AACCUUUACACUGCACGACAGCGCGAUAAGGGAAUCCCAAGUGCGUAGGCAUAGAGCCUACGCUUUUGUCCACCGUAGGGAGGUGGACGAAUAAGGGCUGGGCAAGACCGGUGCCAGCCGCCGCGGUAAUACCGGCAGCCCGAGUGAUGGCCGAUCUUAUUGGGCCUAAAGCGUCCGUAGCUGGCCGCGCAAGUCUAUCGGAAAAUCCACCCGCUCAACGGGUGGGCGUCCGGUAGAAACUGCGUGGCUUGGGACCGGAAGGCGCGACGGGUACGUCCGGGGUAGGAGUGAAAUCCCGUAAUCCUGGACGGACCGCCGAUGGCGAAAGCACGUCGCGAAGACGGAUCCGACAGUGAGGGACGAAAGCUAGGGUCUCGAACCGGAUUAGAUACCCGGGUAGUCCUAGCCGUAAACAAUGCCUGCUAGGUGUGGCUCCCACUACGAGUGGGUGCUGUGCCGUAGGGAAGCCGCUAAGCAGGCCGCCUGGGAAGUACGUCCGCAAGGAUGAAACUUAA